rnacentral:rRNA from 1 species
UACGUAGGGUGCAAGCGUUGUCCGGAAUUAUUGGGCGUAAAGAGCUCGUAGGCGGUCUGUCACGUCGGCUGUGAAAUCCCGAGGCUCAACCUCGGGUCUGCAGUCGAUACGGGCAAACUAGAGUAUUGGCAGGGGAGACUGGAAUUCCUGGUGUAGCGGUGAAAUGCGCAGAUAUCAGGAGGAACACCGGUGGCGAAGGCAGGUCUCUGGGCCGAUACUGACGCUGAGGAGCGAAAGCGUGGGGAGCGAACAGG